AGAGUGAACGCUGGCGGUAGGCCUAACACAUGCAAGUCGAACGGCAGCACAGUAGGAGCUUGCUCUUACGGGUGGCGAGUGGCGGACGGGUGAGGAAUACAUCGGAAUCUACCUUUUGGUGGGGGAUAACGUAGGGAAACUUACGCUAAUACCGCAUACGCCCUUCGGGGGAAAGCCGGGGACCAGCAAUGGCCUGGCGCUGAUAGAUGAGCCGAUGUCGGAUUAGCUAGUUGGUGAGGUAAUGGCUCACCAAGGCGACGAUCCGUAGCUGGUCUGAGAGGAUGAUCAGCCACACUGGAACUGAGACACGGUCCAGACCUCCGUA
rnacentral:rRNA from 1 species